GACAGAGGAGCCAAGCGUUGUCCGGAUUGACUGGGCGUAAAGCGCACGCAGGCGGAUGCGCGCGUGGGGUGUGAAAUCUGGCCGCUUAACGGCCAGGCGCCAUCCCAUACGGCGCGGCUGGAGCCAUGCAGAGGGCGGUGGAAUUGCCGGUGUAGUGGUGAAAUGCGUAGAGAUCGGCAGGAACACCCAGGGGGAAACCAGCCGCCUGGGCAUGCGCUGACGCUGAGGUGCGAGAGCGUGGGGAGCGAACCGG
rnacentral:rRNA from 1 species